AAGAGAAGAACAGCUGUCAGCGCCAAAAAUCUUUCUCAUGGAUAAUGGCAUUUUAUUUAAUUAUAUAAUCAUAACAUUUAUUUAAAAGUGUUUUUCCUAUGGCGGUGACAGAGGAAGAAGGUAUUUUCCUUAACUGCCUACAAGCAAGAGUUUUCACUGAGCUAGCUAACACAGCUAGUUAGCUAGCUAGCUCCUUUAGCUUGCCACCACAAUAUUCAGAGUGACUGAACAAGGGCAACUGUCAACUUGUGAGUCUGAAAAUGGACAUUGGAGGUUAAGGAAUCUGCAUUGAACUGCUGAAAACCGUGCACGGGCGGAUCCAGGAUCCGUAAGACAAAGACCUGACCUCUGAAUUGAGGGUUUAUUUCAGGCCAGUGGUGAACUGGUAUAUGACAGAGGUGGUGACGAGAUCCAACCUACAUUGCUUUUCCCAGUCUACGAGACGAAGGUCAGUAAAUCUGUAUUCACAAAUGAUGGGGAAUUGACACUUGGGCUACAUUCAGAAAUAUAUUUUUGAUUGCUUUUGUGUAGUUUAGGUGUUGAUUUUAAAAAUUCCCAUAGGGCAUUCUAAUGCGGUGACCUAUCUUUAGAAUUUCGUGUAGAGAAAAGUUUUAAAGGGAACAAAGUAUUCUAUGCAAAUGAAAGAUAGGAAUUGGGUGUAGAGCCACCUAGGCAGCAGUAGAAGGGGGUCCGUAAUGACACAGGGUAUCUGCAGUACCAAUAUAAACUUGUAACGGUCGUCAUAUGAAGAAGGUGUCGACCAAAGUGCAGCGUGGUAAGUGUUCAUGUUAUUUUGAUUUAAACUGAACACAAAACAAAAUGAGAAUGAAUAAAAAUCGAAACAGUUCUGU